GAUGAACGCUGGCGGCGUGCCUAAUACAUGCAAGUCGAGCGAACGGACGAGAAGCUUGCUUCUCUGAUGUUAGCGGCGGACGGGUGAGUAACACGUGGAUAACCUACCUAUAAGACUGGGAUAACUUCGGGAAACCGGAGCUAAUACCGGAUAAUAUUUUGAACCGCAUGGUUCAAAAGUGAAAGACGGUCUUGCUGUCACUUAUAGAUGGAUCCGCGCUGCAUUAGCUAGUUGGUAAGGUAACGGCUUACCAAGGCAACGAUGCAUAGCCGACCUGAGAGGGUGAUCGGCCACACUGGAACUGAGACACGGUCCAGACUCCUACGGGAGGCAGCAGUAGGGAAUCUUCCGCAAUGGGCGAAAGCCUGACGGAGCAACGCCGCGUGAGUGAUGAAGGUCUUCGGAUCGUAAAACUCUGUUAUUAGGGAAGAACAUAUGUGUAAGUAACUGUGCACAUCUUGACGGUACCUAAUCAGAAAGCCACGGCUAACUACGUGCCAGCAGCCGCGGUAAUACGUAGGUGGCAAGCGUUAUCCGGAAUUAUUGGGCGUAAAGCGCGCGUAGGCGGUUUUUUAAGUCUGAUGUGAAAGCCCACGGCUCAGCCGUGGAGGGUCAUUGGAAACUGGAAAACUUGAGUGCAGAAGAGGAAAGUGGAAUUCCAUGUGUAGCGGUGAAAUGCGCAGAGAUAUGGAGGAACACCAGUGGCGAAGGCGACUUUCUGGUCUGUAACUGACGCUGAUGUGCGAAAGCGUGGGGAUCAAACAGGAUUAGAUACCCUGGUAGUCCACGCCGUAAACGAUGAGUGCUAAGUGUUAGGGGGUUUCCGCCCCUUAGUGCUGCAGCUAACGCAUUAAGCACUCCGCCUGGGGAGUACGACCGCAAGGUUGAAACUCAAAGGAAUUGACGGGGACCCGCACAAGCGGUGGAGCAUGUGGUUUAAUUCGAAGCAACGCGAAGAACCUUACCAAAUCUUGACAUCCUUUGACAACUCUAGAGAUAGAGCCUUCCCCUUCGGGGGACAAAGUGACAGGUGGUGCAUGGUUGUCGUCAGCUCGUGUCGUGAGAUGUUGGGUUAAGUCCCGCAACGAGCGCAACCCUUAAGCUUAGUUGCCAUCAUUAAGUUGGGCACUCUAAGUUGACUGCCGGUGACAAACCGGAGGAAGGUGGGGAUGACGUCAAAUCAUCAUGCCCCUUAUGAUUUGGGCUACACACGUGCUACAAUGGACAAUACAAAGGGCAGCGAAACCGCGAGGUCAAGCAAAUCCCAUAAAGUUGUUCUCAGUUCGGAUUGUAGUCUGCAACUCGACUACAUGAAGCUGGAAUCGCUAGUAAUCGUAGAUCAGCAUGCUACGGUGAAUACGUUCCCGGGUCU
rnacentral:rRNA from 1 species